UGGGCUUGACACGUCCGGAAUCCUGCAGAGAUGCGGGAGUGCCCUUCGGGGAAUCGGAACAC
rnacentral:rRNA from 1 species